GAGUCUUGAGGUGGGCGUUCCCUUGAGUGCCUAAUUAUCGGCAGCAAGCUGGCUAAGGGAGAAGGCAGGGAAGUAGUAGUUUGUUUGGUUUCCAGGUUGUUGUUGUUGUUUUUAAUUAUAGCUUAUAAAGGCAUAUUUGUUUUCCAUCAUUUAAUCAACUCUGUAAUUAGCUGUUGUGAUUACAAUCUCUGUCAGGUACAAUUAUGGACUUUUAAAUCUUUUAAGUCAGCCUAAUAUUUAAGAAAAGAAAAGCCCCUAUCAAGCCUGUUUGCCUACUACUGCUUCAGAUUCCUGCAAACUAGUGGUGUGAUGGCGUAUAUACAUUGAGGACUUACUUGCCAGGCUUAUCCAGAAGCCCCCCUGCAGGGCACUGGCAGCAUAGGAGAAUAUAUUCCUGCAAGGCCUGCUGGUGAAACAUCCAGUGACUCAUACUAAGGGCAGGAUCGCCUGUGGAAAGGGGAAAGAAAGCCUACAUUAAAUCAGACAAAAUGACUCCAUCAAUUACAAUUGUUUGAGCUAACCUCAAAAAUGAGGCACUGAGGAGGCAUGACUGCUUUCCUCUCCAGCCCACUCCAGAUCUCCUCUGGAAUCCUAAAUGGCCCAAUCAGGGUCCACUGUCGGGCCGGCACACUCAUGUCAUCACUGUCACAGCAUCAAACCUGCCCAGAUGGAUCUAUGAGCUCAAAGAUUUGGAUAUUCCCUUUGAUGUUGAUAGCAACCAGUACCUACCUGACUGCCUGUGUGAUCCUUGUCCAUAUCUUCCCAUCAGUUUACCACACGUUGGUAAUCUGGUAAGAAUCUGGUGAGAAUCACCCAACAUCAUCCCUUUCACCUGACAUCACAGAAACACCAGUGCAACACCCAGGCUGACUAAGUAUGAUUCCAGGCCACGUAACUAGCCAAAGUUUUCUUAUCAUACGUUCUUCCGUAAUGACAUGUAAUUUACUCAUAUUUUUCCAAUCUCUUGGUUGGUUAUAUGUUUGGGUUGUUUCUUUGUUUUCUUUUUAAGUUUUAUUGAUAUGCUUUUUUUUUACAUUAUACACACUUACAGAUUUUUCUUACUUCAUGAGAGGUUUCUUGUAACAAAGUUAAAAAGUUAAGUAAAACUAAUAAUAUAGUGCCGUUAUCAGUGUGCAUGUAAGAUUUCACAUCUGUAUCACUCCCCACCUCUUUUUUCUUUUUUAAAAUGCUGUUGCUGGGGCAGGUAGGUGGCUCAGUGGAUAGAGCACCAG